rnacentral:lncRNA from 1 species
CCUCAGAGACAACCUAUGAGUCACACCAGAACUCCCGUUUCAACAUAUUAAAAGGGUGCUGUCUUUAUUAUAUAUUUUAUAUAUAACAUAUAUUUCUAUAUGUAUUUAUAUAUUAUAUUUAUAUAUUUAUAUGUAUUUGUAAAUAUAUUGAUUUUAUAUAUAAAUUAAUAUAUUAUAUAUUAAUAAUAUAUAUUUCUUUAUAUUAUAUUUUUUAUAUAUUUAUAUAUUAUAUUUCUUUAUAUAUUAAAAGGGUUCCUGGCUUUCCCUCCUGCCGUCCUCUCCUCCUUACUCUCCCACUUCUGAUGACCUCAGUUGUCCACAGAGCUCCUAAAGUAGAGGUGCCGGGGGAAAGGGGUCAACAAGAUACUCCUACAGCAGACCAUCCACUUCCACGUCUGACUUGGAGUCUCUGAAGCCCUAAAUAGCACAUACCUGUUGAAACCAAGACCGCCUGCUGCCCUGUGCCUCAUUAAAGGAGCUACGAGCAGCAGGAUUGGACUUGCCAACCAUCCUGAUGAAAGCUUGAAAGACAAGAAAGGAAACCAAGAAAUUCUCCCUAAAGGAAUCUCUUUACCAAGACCUUUGUAGUGCUUUUACGGUCUUCUUCAGGAUGGGAUUAGAAAACUUGUCCCCCUGGCUUAAGGAUCUUAAUUUUAUGAAAUGUUGCUCAGACGAUCUAAUUUAGAUUGAAAGGCAUCCUCUAUUCAUUUAGGAUUAAAACAAGUACCUAUUUAGGUCCACCGUCCUUGUUACAAGCUGUGGUAAGCGACCGUAGUGUAGCAGGACCAUUAGUGGCAACGUCAUGACAUUGGGGCGGGGGGGACCCUGUGCCCACGCCCGAGUGUGGGUGACCAGGGAGGCCCCCUGGGCUGUUGAAACCAUCGGCGGGCUCAAAGUGACUACAAAUGCCUUUUGAAGGUAACUUUCAAAAGUGACACUCUCUUAAAAUUGAAGAAUUGUUCCGAUCGUUGAAAAACUAAAACAACAAACGAAGUUCAGGAUGAGAGCUCAAUGGGAAUGAGAAAUAAUUCAUGUAGAUACAAAAGAUUCAAGAAGGUUGCCUCAGAUUUUAGCUAUCCUGGCAUUAUUAAUUUAAUUUCUACUCAUUAUGAUAAUACCAAGCAUUUAGAAUGCAGUUAGUGUUUAUGUAGAUGGAAUCACUCCUUCUGAAAAUUACAAUUUUGAAUUAAUAUGCUAUUAAAAAUGUCACUAGAAAGUGCUUUUAUUGUUCUGCCCAGAGAAUAACCGUUCCCUGUUCCUUUUCAUACACCAAAUUUCAGAAUUUAUUUUUUUUGAUCGUCUUUAGAUUUAGAAAACUGUAAUGUUUCUGUUUAAGAACUCUCCGUAUG